rnacentral:rRNA from 1 species
GGGCCCGCACAAGCGGUGGAGCAUGUGGUUCAAUUCGACGCAACGCGAAGAACCUUACCGGGGUUUGAACUGUACGGGAAAGCUGCAGAGAUGUGGUCUUCCUUCGGGACCCGUAUAGAGGUGCUGCAUGGCUGUCGUCAGCUCGUGUCGUGAGAUGUUGGGUUAAGUCCCGCAACGAGCGCAACCCUUGCCUCCUGUUGCCAACGGGUAAAGCCGGGCACUCUGGAGGUACUGCCGGCGAUAAGCCGGAGGAAGGUGGGGAUGACGUCAAGUCCUCAUGGCCUUUAUGCCCCGGGCCACACACGUGCUACAAUGGCUGGUACAGAGGGUCGCAAAACCGUGAGGUGGAGCUAAUCCCAAAAAACCAGUCCCAGUUCGGAUUGGAGUCUGCAACUCGACUCCAUGAAGUUGGAAUCGCUAGUAAUCGCGGAUCAGCACGCCGCGGUGAAUACGUUCCCGGGCCUU